CCCCGCAAUAAAAAUCAUUGUUUGCAUCGCCUUGGUGGAAGAUAUUUCAAUAUUUUUCAACACCAGGGCCGGGUUAGUACUUGCAUGGGUGACCGGCUGGGAGUACCCGGUGUUGUGGGGU
rnacentral:rRNA from 1 species